rnacentral:rRNA from 1 species
AUACGGAGGAUGCGAGCGUUAUCCGGAUUUAUUGGGUUUAAAGGGAGCGUAGGUGGGAUAUUAAGUCAGCUGUGAAAGUUUGGGGCUCAACCUUAAAAUUGCAGUUGAUACUGGUUUCCUUGAGUACAGUAGAGGCAGGCGGAAUUCGUGGGGGAGUGGGUGAAUGCUUAGAUAUCACGAAGAACUCCGAUUGCGAAGGCAGCCUGCUGGACUGUAACUGACGCUGAUGCUCGAAAGUGUGGGUAUCAAACAGGAUUAGAUACCCUGGUAGUCCGCACAGUAAACGAUGAAUACUUGUUUUCGGCGAUAUAAUGUCGGAGGCAAAGCGAAAGCGAUAAGUAUUCCACCUGGGGAGUACGCCGGCAACGGUGAAACUCAAAUGAAUUGGCGGGG